ACACAUGCAAGUCGAGCGGAUGAAGGGAGCUUGCUCCUGGAUUCAGCGGCGGACGGGUGAGUAAUGCCUAGGAAUCUGCCUGGUAGUGGGGGAUAACGUCCGGAAACGGGCGCUAAUACCGCAUACGUCCUGAGGGAGAAAGUGGGGGAUCUUCGGACCUCACGCUAUCAGAUGAGCCUAGGUCGGAUUAGCUAGUUGGUGGGGUAAAGGCCUACCAAGGCGACGAUCCGUAACUGGUCUGAGAGGAUGAUCAGUCACACUGGAACUGAGACACGGUCCAGACUCCUACGGGAGGCAGCAGUGGGGAAUAUUGGACAAUGGGCGAAAGCCUGAUCCAGCCAUGCCGCGUGUGUGAAGAAGGUCUUCGGAUUGUAAAGCACUUUAAGUUGGGAGGAAGGGCACUAAGUUAAUACCUUGCUGUUUUGAC
rnacentral:rRNA from 1 species